UUUUCUGUUUGACCUCCAUGGUUCCCCCGGUUAGUUGUUUUCCAUUAAAAAUUUUUUGGCCGGGCGGGUAACCGGCAACCGGCUGUUGGCCUCUCUCCGCCCCUCUCUCCUUCCUACUUUUGUGGAUCCUCUUCCCGUGGUAUCGUAUCCAUUACCUUCUGCUUGAUUCGGUCAGAGCAGCUGGUCAAAGCGGUGCCCCCAUCUCUCUUCCUCCCUAUUGCCGCCUCCCACACUAUUCUCUAGCCCGGCCUCCUCUUUCCUCUCUCUUGCUGCCAUGCCAUCUACCGACGCGGCUGACGGCGUGAAGGACGGCUGACGGCGUGGAGGAGGAGUUCGGGUCAGCCCACUCCUUCCCGACGCAGAUGGCGGCGUGUGGGCGCUAGUGGGGGGACUUAAACUACAGGAUUCGAGGCUAGACGGAGGCGAUGCCGACCCGUUGAGGGACGUCAUGUCUACCAGGAUGUUGUUGUGCGGGCCUUCUCCGCCUCAUGCAGGGAAACCAACAGGACAACUAUGCAACCAUACCUGGUAAAAGAGAUUUGCCGCCUAGAGGGUUUCAACAGAAAAUCAUAAUGUGUGUCCCCGGAUCUAGGAGUACAUGCCUAUAGGGAUCAAUCUACCUGGCAAAAAGUGUUGAGUUGGACUUCAUUAUUAUUACCGAGAGGGCAACACAAUGGAAGGCUGUGUACCACCCAAUCGAGUAUACAAGUUCAGAGAACAACUAAAGGAAGGUUCUAUCUACAGGUUUGAGUCUUUUAUUGUUGCUGCAGCAUGGAACAAAUACAAGACAGCCAAUCAUCCGUAUAGGAUCAAGAUUACUCAACGCACAAAAGUCAUCGAAGCAAUUCCGGAUUCUGAAAUGUUUCCUUUGUUCCCGUAUAAUGCGAAUCAUUUGCUGUUCUGUAGUCACCCUAAUCGUUUGCUAUUCUGUAGUCACGUGCAGGGGACAACACCUUUCUAUCAGAUGUUGCUGUACUGGUGACCAUGGACUAUUCUUAAUGAAUAUCACUCGGUCGAAUACGAAUCAAGAGCCAAGGAGGCAUAUCGUCUUAAAAGAUGCUAGUCAGGCGAAUCGUUCGCUAUUCUGUAGUCAUGCGCAGGGGACAACCUUUCUAUCAGAUGUUGCUGUACUGGUGACCAUGGACCAUUGUUAAUGAAUACCACUCGGUCGAAUACGAAUCAAGAGCCAAUGAGGCAUAUUCUCUUAAAAUAUGCUAGGUGGUGGAAAUGUGUUGUUGGUGUUCGAAGUCCAUUGUUGCCCAGUGCACACCAUGCCUCCAGGGAUCUUGCAUCUAAUAAUUUAUAGAACAAGGUGUCACAAAUGUAUUGGUGAUGUUCUGCGUCCAUUGCUGCACAGCCACAGAGCAUGUCUUCACUGAUUUUUCAUGAUAACUUAAAGCGGAAAUCAAGGAUAAAUGUUUUGUUGCAUGAUGCUUUAUAUAUAUAGUUCUAAUGACACACCUGUUUAUUGUACAUACUGCACCACUGUUCUUUUUAAGUUAAACUGUGGCAGGACCAUAUUCGCUGAAAGAACUAUAUUUUCCAUUUACCUUUCCCAAAAAUAUUUUUCUUCUAUUAUACUGCAAAACCUCCUACUAAUCUUCCUUCAAUAUCAGUGUUCCCUAUGCAAUGAAUGGGAUCAAUACGGGAAAAUUAGAUGAUAUUAUUCGUAAUGUCAUACCACAUUACCGCUUCUUGGGUAUUAAAUUUACAAGUUUGUAAAUUUUGUUUGUUGUUUGGAAGGAAGUGGACACUGAGUGGGUUCGAUCGAAGAGAAGUUUGUGCUGGGUUUCCUGAGCUGAUUGGGAUGCGUCUCCUUCGGUCGGUAAAAGGAGUAAUUUACAAGUUUAAACUAAAAAGGUGAAUGCAUGUUUGACCUAUAAAUAUUUCGCUCCUGCUCCUCACUACUAAACAGAAGAUGUUGACAUAUCCAGUCUCUUUGUGCGUUAGCAGUAGUAAGAGAGGGUAUGUAGUGCUGCUUCAUACAUAUUAUAGUCCUAAAAAAAUGGUUAUUGUACAUAUUGCACUGCUCUUCGUUUUAACUUAAAAUGUGUCCCCAACCAUAUUCACUAAAACAACUGCAUGAAUGCACUUUUCCAUUUACCUUUCUCAAAAUGCAUUUGUUUGAUUAUAUUUUAAGGAAACUUGCUAUUGAGCUUGCUUCAAUAUCAGUGUUCCGGACCAGGUCAGAUAUGAGAUGAAUCAGAUCAAUCGGGGAAAAUAUUUGAUGAUCUUAGUCUUAACAUGAUACUACUUUUCUACCACUUCUUGGGUACUAUAUUUAUAAGCUUCUAAGUUUUGUUCCAUUGAUUGGAAGGAAGUGGCUGUGGUGAGUCCAAUGGAAAAUAUUUGAUGAUCUUAGUCUUAACAUGAUCUAAGUUUUGUUCAUGCUGGGUUCCAUGUUGUUCGUUGUCCUCCUGUUGCUGACCUUUUUCCUUAGUUGAUUGGUAUGCAACCUACCGAUUUUACCUCAUUACAAGAACUCUACUAUAUGUAGAUCAUUCGACCGCAGAAAUAGUAGGCUUCGGUUAGAUGAAGGAACUAUGUAGUCAGUACUCUUUUCUUUGUACAGUCAGUGUGCUAAAAACUACCACUGCAUAGUGUUCUACUGUAUAUAUGUGUUGUAUAUAAUUGCAGUCAAUGAAUUUAUAAGAGACUGUCUCUUUUGCUUCAUCUUCUUUGUAUU